rnacentral:rRNA from 1 species
UACAGAGGUCUCAAGCGUUGUUCGGAUUCAUUGGGCGUAAAGGGCGCGUAGGCGGCGCCGCAAGUCGACUGUGAAAUCUCCGGGCUUAACCCGGAAAGGUCAGCCGAUACUGCGGGGCUAGAGUGCAGAAGGGGCAACUGGAAUUCUCGGUGUAGCGGUGAAAUGCGUAGAUAUCGAGAGGAACACCUGCGGCGAAGGCGGGUUGCUGGGCUGACACUGACGCUGAGGCGCGAAAGCUAGGGUAGCAAACGGG